rfam:Dipodomys ordii contig_21229, whole genome shotgun sequence.
UGGCUCAGUGGCAGAGCGCUUGCCUUGCAUGCAUGAGGCCCUGGGUUCGAUUCCUCAG